rnacentral:rRNA from 1 species
CCUACGGGAGGCUGCAGUGGGGAAUAUUGCACAAUGGGGGGAACCCUGAUGCAGCGACGCCGCGUGAGUGAAGAAGUAUUUCGGUACGUAAAGCUCUAUCAGCAGGGAAGAAAAAAGGACGGUACCUGAGUAAGAAGCCCCGGCUAACUACGUGCCAGCAGCCGCGGUAAUACGUAGGGGGCAAGCGUUAUCCGGAUUUACUGGGUGUAAAGGGAGCGUAGACGGCGCGGCAAGUCUGAAGUGAAAGGCAGGGGCUUAACCCCUGAACUGCUUUGGAAACUGUCAUGCUAGAGAGCUGGAGAGGUAAGUGGAAUUCCUAGUGUAGCGGUGAAAUGCGUAGAUAUUAGGAGGAACACCAGUGGCGAAGGCGGCUUACUGGACAGUAACUGACGUUGAGGCUCGAAAGCGUGGGGAGCAAACAGGAUUAGAUACCCCUGUAGUC